rnacentral:misc_RNA from 1 species
GUGGGAACUAAAACAUGAAAUUAAUACAACUGCCUCAUUGAAGACCAUAAGCAAGUAAUGCCCCAACUGCACCAACACCAGCCACCAACCCAAUAAUGACUGCAACUGGAGGCAAACCACCACCUAUCGCUUUUCCAGUGUUCACAUCAUAUCUUGCAAACCUCUUUUUGGGUGCUAUGCAUUGUGGACAUACAUAUGUAUCCGGCUGCUCAUCAAAAGGCUUUUGUGCAGUGUAUAUGUAUCCACAGUCAAGGCAUAUGUGAGUAGCUCUAGCCUUCUGAGCCUCAGUCAGUUUUCUUCCAAAGCGAGGAGGAGCUGGACGCUUUGUAAGUUUUUUAACAUCUACUUCUGCACCUCUGUUAACGACAAAGUAGAUAGAGUCUGGUUUUGCUUGGAUAGCAGUUUUAGUGAAUCCUAGCUUAUCAGCAGGCCAAAGUUCAUCCCCAAAGAAGCUGCUAGUGUACAGCACCUGAUCCCCUGCUUUUAGUCCUGCUCUAGCUGCAUUUCCACCCCCAUCUACAGCUGUGAUGA